AGUGGCGAACGGGUGAGUAAUAUAUCGGAACAUAUCCGGAAGUGGGGGAUAACUAACCGAAAGGUUAGCUAAUACCGCAUAUGCCCUAAGGGGGAAAGGGGGGGAUCGCAAGACCUCUCGCUUUCGGAGUGGCCGAUAUCGGAUUAGCUAGUAGGUGAGGUAAAGGCUCACCUAGGCGACGAUCCGUAGCUGGUCUGAGAGGACGACCAGCCACACUGGAACUGAGACACGGUCCAGACUCC
rnacentral:rRNA from 1 species